GCCCUAAUUUAUGUGCCAAGCCCUUAGGAGUUAGAUUCAGUUUGCAAAUUAGGAAAUUUAAGUAUUUUCAUGAGGUUAUCCACAUGAGAGCUGGUGGUCUGAGCUCUCAUUAUAAUCGAUAGACAUCUAGACAGCUGAGUCAGUGAAGUUUAGAAAGCAAUUCACUUCACUUCACUUCACUUCACUUCACUAGACACCUGGAAAACUGGAGGAUUUAGGUGCCUAAAUAUAAACAUCAAAUUCUGUAGGAUAUCCUGCUGUUGUUCCCAAAGUGUUGGGUUUUUCCAUGGAUCCUUCAUCACAGCUAGUAGCAUUCCAUUGAUGUCUUGGAUGUUCUGCACCAGGAACCUCUGUGUGAGCAACUGAACCUACAUGUGAUAAGAUGAAUUCUAUUGACUCUGCUGACUAGAUCUCCACUAACCUUGGCUUGGACACCAGUGGCAAUAUAAGCGCAUCAGACUGAACUGACAAGGGAGAUGUUUAGGUAUGUGGCCAUUCAAGACCUACAGGCCUACAAGGAAGUUGGCUGACGCCCUGAAGAUCUUCAGUCCUGAAACAGUGAUAAGAUGAAGAUCAAACAGCAGUGGCGAAGGUUCAUAUCUGUAAAUGGGAAACAAGUUUCAGCUAAUAGCAGGGGAACAUGGAUUCAAUCCUCCUUUUCAACAGGGAGAUUUGCAUGGAAGCUGGAAGAUAGGAUGCUGCAACUCCUUUUGUCUAAGAAGAUGAAUGUGAUUCGAGAAGCAAUAUUUUUGAAGAGAUUUAGAAACUUUGAGGAGCUACAUGCCGUACUCUGUGCUCCUGACUGAUCUCCAAAGCACAGUUUCCCAGACUUCUGCCCCAAACUCUAAGUCACUACACAGAUACCAGUUUACCUGCUAUCUCAGGAGCAGUAAGAGAGGAAUAAUUUGUUGCUCCUGCCCUCUGUUAUGAUCUCAUUCUAUAUUUCUCAGGUGCCAAACAUACCAGCUAAAUCCUGUAAGGAUAUGUAGAAAGGGAUUAUCUGCAUCUUUAAGGGUGACCGGUCAAGGAGUUUUUUCCGAGGCAACAAAGGAUAAUAAGAAAGGGAAGCAGUGAUUGGAACAAGUCUGAUUAGUCACACUAAUUUAUGAGAGCAUACAAGAAUGUUUAUUUGAGAAAAAUUAUCUGAUUGAGGGCUGGGAGGCAAUCAAAAAAAAAAAAAAACAAACACAAACCUCUCAGCCAAGCUAGUCGGUAGGCUAAAAAUCUACAGAUGCCAUUUCCAGGAAGGAUGAAUCUUGCAGCUGAUAAGAUGUGAACCAAAAGGCCCCAGAGUAAGUUGGUUUGAAGGUUCUUUAAAGCACAGCAAACCCAUGAGGGUUUUGCAGUAGAAAGUGGAAGAAGGAGGAAUGAAGAGGGGAGAUGGGUAGAAAAAUGUACAAAAUGGCUGGUCACAUGUAAAAUGGGGCUGGUCAGUAUGCUUCUCUGUCUGAACUCUCUGCUUCAUCACCACAGUCUGUCCUAUCUUCCAAUAUUUUCUCAUUAAAUCUUUUCUUAACUUUCUCUCUGUGUAUUUAUACCCUUUCCCAUAUGUAUACGAGCUGCAAGAUCUACAUAUCAGCUCCUGGCAAGACCUGUGUGUAUGUGAGUAAAGGUUUGUGCUAAUUGCUGGAGUCAGGCUGGGGCAGCAGGCCUGUGGUACCAGCUGCUGGAGAGACUGGGGGUCCCAGCAAUGGUAGUUGGGGGAGCCAUAGCUUUCUGGAUCUGAAAAGGUUCUAUAGACUUUUAGUGCCAAAGUGCCAGCUGCUGAGGGAACUGCUGAGUGGAAUUUAGUGCCAGAUACUGGAG
rnacentral:lncRNA from 1 species